UGAUAAGAGAAAUUGAAUUUGUGUCCAUCUACCUGUGUGCAGUCUCUUUGGUUGUGCUCUCUCUCUCUCUCUCUCUUCCUCCAGGCAGCUGCAGCUCAUCCAACCUCCUUAGGGAAGCCAAUAUAUGGAAACCAGCUCUCUCAGACGGACGCUGGAUCGUUCUCUUACCGAAAGUUGUUUGUUGGCCUCCUGACGAGUGAGCUCUGGUUUGUCGCUUCCUCCGUAGCGUCUUGAUCUGAUAUGACGCACGUUUAUUUGGAACCAUCUCAUGUUGCAUGGGUGACCUGGUCCUAACUUACCUGUUUGUCUGCUGCCAGCAUGACCAUCCCACCUUCCAAUGAAUCCUCUGACGGUCAACCUGCUGAAAGAGAGGGAGACAUUAGGAACCACACAGCUAGUUUUCAACCAAGUUCCUGCCAGUCUCAGCCUGUGUUGCCUUUCCUGGGGACUAGAUCCAAGGCUAUGCAUGUCCUUUGUAACUGUUAAAUUCCUCCUUGUUUGCUUGUCUAAUUGUUUCUACCUGUACUACCUGUAAGUCAUGAUCAUCGAAAUGAACAGAUAUGAAUCACA